CCCAAACCCCCCAACUCUAACCCUGAAACCUUUACCUUCAUUCAAUUUCUUGUGUGAUUGAUGGAUAAGCAAAAUUUCAAUCGAUUGACGAGGAGUAAAUCAGAUAUUUUAAUUUACCACUUUAAUUUUGAUAUAAAAUCCUAAAAUCAAAAUAAAAUUAGUGGAUCUUGAUUGGAUUUCUAGGUAGACCAUGGCCAAUAGGGACCAACCUCUGGCUCCGCCCUGAAUUGAGCAUACAAGGUUGCGGUCUGGCCGGCCACCCAUGCCGGCGUUCCGGAGCUCGUCUGACUAGGCUUUGGAACCCUCCCACCGACCUUCGCAUACGUUGCGAGGGAGCGAGCGAGCAGAGGCACCGAGCAUAAAGAGGAACUAACCUGCAAAGAUAGGGGAUUUAAUGUAAAUAGAGAAGAAAGCCCCCGAUAUGGAUCGAGAUUAAAUUGCAGUCGAGAAGGGGGUUCUCUGCAAAUACAGCAUCGUUCUCCCCACCGGUGGCCGGCGACCGGCAUCGACGGGGCUCCCUCCCCAGGUUCCGACGGACAGCCCUCUAGGCAGAUCCCGUUGAGUUCACCUUCUCAAGUUUGUCACAUACCGCGCUAGAUGAUAUCGGCGGUGGUGAGGAGGGUGAGGAAACCAGCCAACGGCGGGAGGUCUGUGCCGCCUUGGCCGGCAGGUCGCGCACCAGGCCAUCGUUGUGCAGACGCGGACGAAGACGAUGCUGCACAGAAAAGUUAACGGACGACCGGCACUACCUGAAGGAUUCAGGAACUACAAAAGAAUGAGCUCCAGAAAAGCUUCGUUCGUCAAUCAGCGACCAGAACAGCAAUUCAAAGCAUUGUGGCAGCUGGGUGCUGCUCCGGCGCCGGAGGCUCGUCGGCGUAGUACAUCUUGAGCCUGAUAUGCCGCGCAUCCAGUUGAGGAAGCUCUUCUUCUGUAGCGGGAAGUGGACAAGCGCCUCCUCGCCCUUGCACACGAACUGGCGCGCGUUGAGGCGGACGCGGCUGAGGAAGCUGUUCCGCCUGCUGGGCCCCAUGAGCACAUCGUGCAGCACGGGAACGGCAACCUCGAGCACCUCCACCUCGUCAUUGGCGACCGCGGGGUUGACGCCGCCGCCGUCAGGCCAGAGGCGGCGAAAUCGAGCGCUUCGUUCCACCUUCCACGCCAGGUUGAGGUCGCGGACCACGAUGCGCGUCGUGCAGUGCUGCCCGGCGAAGUCGGCGCGCGUGUAGGGGCUGGAUGACCCCAGGAAUCUCGAGGGCCGCCGCCGCCGCCGGGAGCCUUCGCCAUGCUAGGGAGGGAGCGAGCGAGGGGCAGCCGGCGCAAAGAGGGACUAACUUACAAAGCUAGGGGGUUUACUGAAAAAUAUCUGAUCGCGAUUAAUAAUCAUGAUUAAUAAUCGCGAUCCAAAUCAGGACUUUAUGUGUUAAAUACCCGGACACCAAAUUUCAGAUAACCUCCUUGUUUGGAUCGCGAUUAAUACCGCGAUCCAAGUCAGGGGGCUAUAUGUAAAAAUACCAGGACACCAAUUUCAGAGAACCCCCUAAUUUGAAUCGUGAUCAAAUCUAGGGGCUUUCUGCAAAAUACAGCAUCGCUCUCCCAGUCUCCCCUUCCGUCGCCGGCGACCGGCGUUGACGGAGCUUCCCCUCCGGGUUCCGGCCAAUGGCCCUGUUCCGGGUGGAACCCGUUGAUCCCAGCUCCUCAAGUUCGUCGCAGACAGCGUUGGACCAUACCGGCGGAGACGAGGAGGCGCGCGAGAAAGCCAAUCAACGGCGGGAGAUCUGCGCCGCCUCGGCCGGGAGGUCGCACACCAGGCCAGUGCUGUGCAGACGAAGCCGAUGCGCCGGGAGCCAUGUAUGUCAUCUGUAACACUAACACAAAAACAAAGGCCAAGUUCUUCGUUUGUCAAUCAGCAACUAGGAACGACGGCGCGGAUCUUCAGGUAGCCGGACUUGGCAGCUGCUGGAGGCGACGAUCCAUCGAAAAGGAUGAGCAGGUACCCUGUGGCAGCCUUGAAUCUGAAUAACUCCGAGGAAAGAAACCGUGAGUCUCUGUUGUUUGAAAAGAAACCAUCGGUCUCCGACGACAAAAUACAGGCGCCUAAAGUUACCUCGACGAUCUCUUCAUUGCUCCUCUCGCAGUUCUUCCCAAUGAUACAAACUGUAAUCUUGCGCCAAAUAGACUAGGACUUUGGCUUUCUGAUGUCGUCUUGUAUGUGUUGCAUUUCUUGCACCAGAUUAACGAGCCUGUCAGUCCCAUCAGAAUCAAGGCCACAGGCGUUGUGGCACUGCCGAAAUUAUGUGAAGAAAAAUAUGUCAAA